ACAAACGCAUAAGACAAAUUGAUGACAU
rnacentral:guide_RNA from 1 species